GCUACCAUGCAGUCGACGGUAACAGAGGAGCUUGCUCCUGCUGACGAGUGGCGCACGGGUGAGUAAUGCAUAGGUAACGUGCCCCUUAGUCUAGGAUAGCCACUGGAAACGGUGAUUAAUACUGGAUACUCCUUCUUCCUUAAUGGAAGUUGGGAAAGUUUUUCGCUAAGGGAUCGGCCUAUGUUGUAUCAGGUAGUUGGUGAGGUAAUGGCUCACCAAGCCUAUGACACAUAGCGGGUCUGAGAGGAUGAUCCGCCACACUGGUACUGAGACACGGACCAGACUCCUACGGGAGGCAGCAGUGGGGAAUAUUGCACAAUGGACGAAAGUCUGAUGCAGCAACGCCGCGUGGAGGAUGACACAUUUCGGUGCGUAAACUCCUUUUAUAUGAGAAGAUAAUGACGGUAUCAUAUGAAUAAGCACCGGCUAACUCCGUGCCAGCAGCCGCGGUAAUACGGAGGGUGCAAGCGUUAUUCGGAAUCACUGGGCGUAAAGGACGCGUAGGCGGGUUGGUAAGUCAGAUGUGAAAUCCUACAGCUUAACUGUAGAACUGCAUUUGAAACUACUAACCUAGAGUAUGGGAGGGGGAGAUGGAAUUAGUGGUGUAGGGGGUAAAAUCCGUAGAUAUCACUAGGAAUACCGAAAGCGAAGGCGAUCUCCUGGAACAUAACUGACGCUAAGGCGUGAAAGCG
rnacentral:rRNA from 1 species